UACAUAGUUGGCUUACAAUCGCCACUUCACACAAUACAUGAAUAAAGCAUUACAUCAUCCAGAUACACAUAAGGUCUGACUACGAAACCAAAAUAAAAGAAGACUACCCCAAAUGCUACACAGAUCCCCGAUCGUCCCAACUGGGCUCCACUACUGAUCAACUGAAAUGAAACAACACAAUGAACGGGAUCUUCAUCGAGCUCCUCCUUGAGCUCGGUUGCGUCACCUGCACGGUUCCAUCGGCACCUGCAAACUGGUUUUGGAAGUAUCUGUGAGUCACGGGGACUCAGCAAUCUCACACCCUCGCGAUCAAGACUAUUUAAGCUUAUAGGUAAGGUAAAGGUAUGAGGUGGAGCUGCAGCAAGCGACUAGCAUAUAUGGUGGCUAACUUACGCAAAUGAGAGUGAGAAGAGAAAGCAAGGCACGGUCGUGAAACUAUGAUCAAGAAGUGAUCCAAGACUACUUACGUUCAAGCAUAACUCCAAGACCGUGUUCACUUCCCGGACUCCGCUGGAAUGUGACCAUCACGGGUACACACGCAGUUGAUGCAUUUUACUUAAGUUUAGUUUCAGGUUCUCUACAACCGGACAUUAACAAAUUCCCAUUUGCCCAUAACCGAGGGCACGGCUUUUGAAAGUUCAAAACCCUGCAGGGGUGUCCCAACUUAGCCCAUCACAAGCUCUCAUGGUCAACGAAGGAUAUUCCAUCUCCCAAGACAAUCCGAUCAGACUCGGAAUCCCGGUUAAAAGACAUCCUCGACAAUGGUAAAACAAGUCCAGCAAGACCACCCGCUGUGCCGACAAAUCCUGAUAGGAGCUGCACAUAUCUCGUUCUCAGGGCACACCGGAUAAGCUAAAGGUAAGGGAGCCAACGUAACCCAAGUUGCCAAGGGACGGCCCCGCACGGUGCUCUGGGUUGGACCAACACUUAGACAAGCACUGGCCCGGGGGUUUAAAAUAAAGAUGACCCUCGGGAUGCGCGACUCCCACAGGAAAAAGGCUAGGUGGCGAAUGGUAAAACCAAGGUUGGGCCUUGCUGGAGGAGUUUUAUUCAAAGCAAACUAUCAAGGGGUUCCCAUUAUAACCCAACUGUGUAAGGAACGCAAAAUCCGGGAACAUAACACCGAUAUGACGGAAACUAGGGUGGCAAGAGUGGAACAAAACACCAGGCAUAAGGCCGAGCCUUCCACCCUUUACCAAGUAUAUAGAUGCAUUAAUUAAAUAAGAGAUAUUGUGAUAUCCCAACAAAUAUCCUUGUUUCAACAAGGAACAAACUCCAAUCUUCACCUGCAACUAACAACGCUAUAAGAGGGGCUGAGCAAAGCGGUAACAUAGCCAAACAACGGUUUGCUAGGACAAGGUGGGUUAGAGGUUUGACAUGGCAAUAUGGGAGGCAUGAUAAGCAAGUGGUAGGUAUCAUAGCAUAGGCAUAGCAAAAGAGCGAGCAUCUAGCAAGAAAAGAUAGAAGUGAUUUCGAGGGUAUGGUCAUCUUGCCUGAGAUCCCGCAAGGAAGAAGAACGAGUCCAUGAAGAAGACAAACGGACGUAGCCAACAGAUCCUCACAAACGCAAUGUUACCGGAUUACCAAGAAGAAGUACACCGGAAAGAAACAAACAACAUAGUAAACAACCACCACAUAACCAUGGCAUGAUGCACAACCAAGUAUGAUGCAUGUUCG
rnacentral:lncRNA from 1 species